UUGAGAAGGAAGAACGCUUUCAGAGGCGAAAGGCCAUGGGGAGAUACCGUCUAUGAUCCAUGGAUCUCCGAUCGGGAAACCGUAUCCAAGCUCCGUGGCUAGUCUGUGCUCUUUGGACUUUUCAAACUUAGCAAACUGAAACAUCUUAGUAGCUAAAGGAAGGGAAAUCAACCGAGACCCCGUUAGUAGCGGCGAGCGAGAGCGGAUUGGGGGUUUGAAGAAAAA
rfam:Nicotiana attenuata strain TT chromosome 7, whole genome shotgun sequence.